AAGAACUCCCCAGUGGGAGCCAUUCCAUUUUGCCCACAGAUAGCCCCUCCUUGAUUUCCUUUGUUCCUCCACACAGCUCAUUCAUUUUCUUUUCAUUUUGACUUCAUUGUUGCCUACUCAGAGAGCCAGACACGAUAUCCAAAAGUAAAGAAUCAUUUCAUUAAAUGCAUUUCAGGAAGCUCAGUCACAUGGGAGGGACACUGCCAGGUUCCUUCAUAUCCCAUACACCAUUUCCAAGAGUCACUGAAGAGCAAGAAAAAGGUCCCACAUUUUGUCCACUAAUGAAACCAUUUCCUAAUACCAGAAUACAAACCCAAAGUAUCACUAUCUAUCAAUUUGAAAGCAAAUUUAAUUCCAAAACUUAGCCUUUGCCACUUUGUAAUCUGAGAACAAAAUGUGAAAUCAAAAGGAAAACUCAUAGGUAAAAAAUGAACAAGCCAAAAAACAAAGACUAAAAAGUAACAGCAUAAAAAAUAAGUACAUAGAAACAGCCACCAGGCUAUCCUGGGAUCCUCAGAGUUUGAACUGAUGGUUUGCUCAUGAUCCCAUAACCAAAGAAACCCCAAAGAAACAUCAAAGCACGUAGGUAACGUCUCCUUAAAGAUAACUACCCUACUCAGUCUAAUUUAAUGACUUUAAAAGUCCCUUUCUCAUUUCAAAAUACACUUUAUUCUUCCAUUGACACAGCCUGUCCCCAUAUUUCUGCGCAUUUUCUUAUAUUACUUUAUUUCAGUCUUCUCUUCUUUUCUCUUCUGAAACAUCAUUCCUUAAUAGUUGCCUUGACGUACCACACUUUGGGGAAUCGCCCUCCAAUUGACCAUGCUCUACCACAUAUUUCCCAACAAAUAGGGAUUCAAGCAGUCCAUAGGGGGCUUGCCAUGUUCCCAGGCCUCUCUCUAAAGUAUCCUUGAAAGUCUCCCCUCUCAUCCCAGAGAAGUGAUGGGUUUAAUAACCUACCAUAAGAUAAUCAGCCCUUCUCCAAUCAAAGAGUUUCCUGCCUUUAUGGCUUGGCUGGGCCCAGGACAAAUCUUAGACACACUAACACAUACCAAUGUCCACGAGCCCUAAAAAAAAGCAAAAAGGUUCUCCACUGGAGAGAGCUGGGAUGCCAAGGAGCCCCGGCCAGAACUGGAAAGAGAAAUUCUGGGAACCAGUCUCACAUCUGUACUACUCCCAUCUCUAGGAACGCUCUUCUGAGCAAACACAGCUGGCCGAGAGCUGACAAUAAGGGCCAUUUCCUUUUCCCUAUUGGUGACCCUUUCUGGUUUUCUUUUUUCCUCCACAGUCCUCACUUAUUUCAUCUUAAUGUCACCUGUAUUUUCAAAUAUCUCCUUUAUUUGUACUCCCCCAGAGAGCCAGACGAGAUACUUAAAACAAAAAGCAUUUCAUUCAUGGCUUUUCAGAAAAAUCAGUUCCAUGUAUGGUGGCACUGCCAGUUUCAUUCAUAUGCACUAGGCAAUUUCCAAGACCUGAAUACCCAAUGAGAAGUGCGACCUUCUCUCAACUCAUGACCCUCUUCCUGAAAACUAAAAUGUGAAUCACAGUUUAAAUAUCCAUUAAUUUAAAACCAAAUUAAUUUCUAAGCUUAACCCUUGCCACCUUCUAAUCUGAAAAUGAAAGGAAUAAUUUGAAUGAACCUUGUUGGGCAUGAAAGGAUGAAAGGAAGGAAGGAAGGAAGAGAAAGAGGAAAGAACCAAGUAAGGAAAUAUUGAAGGAAUGAAGGAAAAAGGGAGGAAAUGAAAGGAAGAUGGGAGGAAGGAAGGAAGAGAAAGAAAAGGAAGGAAGGAAGGAAA